UAGUUCAUAUUGUUGUUCCGCCUAUAGGGUU
rnacentral:piRNA from 1 species